GAAAAACCAGGCAUGAUUCUUUCUUCAUGUUCAAAGCUCUUUUCAGUAUUCCAGCAGGUGCAGUCAUUGUGGACUGGUGAGAGAGGAAGAGAUAGAAAAGCAGCUUAAACUUCUGAACUGUUAAAGAACUCCCAGAGGUCUUGGCUUUGAAUACAAGAAAAGGAAUAUGAAUAUUUGCAUAUAUUUCUAGGUGCUCUUGCCACAAUUGCUGAUUAGUAGAAUGGGUUGGGUGGUGGAGUAUAGCAUAUUAUCCUACGACUGACAAAUGAAGGAUGGAUUACGUUUAUUGAUUUGUGUAUGUUGAACCAGCCUUGCAUCCCAGGGAUGAAGCCAACUUGAUCAUGGUGGAUAAGCUUUUUGAUGUGCUGCUGGAUUCGGUUGACAAACAAGAGGAAAGAUCAUUCCAGUCAGAGGAAACAAACUGCAAUUAUGAGACAUUAUGGCAAAAU
rnacentral:lncRNA from 10 species